UUUUAUGGAGAGUUUGAUCCUGGCUCAGGACGAACGCUGGCGGCGUGCCUAAUACAUGCAAGUCGAGCGGACAAUUGAGAGCUUGCUCUCAAUUGUUAGCGGCGGACGGGUGAGUAACACGUGGGCAACCUGCCCUGUAGACUGGGAUAACUUCGGGAAACCGAAGCUAAUACCGGAUAAUCUUUUGCGUCUCAUGGCGCGAAAGUAAAAGUUGGGUUUUACCUAACACUACAGGAUGGGCCCGCGGCGCAUUAGCUAGUUGGUAAGGUAACGGCUUACCAAGGCGACGAUGCGUAGCCGACCUGAGAGGGUGAUCGGCCACACUGGGACUGAGACACGGCCCAGACUCCUACGGGAGGCAGCAGUAGGGAAUCUUCCGCAAUGGACGAAAGUCUGACGGAGCAACGCCGCGUGAACGAUGAAGGCCUUCGGGUC
rnacentral:rRNA from 1 species